rnacentral:rRNA from 1 species
CCUUACCUGGUCUUGACAUCCACAGAAGAAUCCAGAGAUGGAUUGGUGCCUUCGGGAACUGUGAGACAGGUGCUGCAUGGCUGUCGUCAGCUCGUGUUGUGAAAUGUUGGGUUAAGUCCCGCAACGAGCGCAACCCUUAUCCUUUGUUGCCAGCGAUUAGGUCGGGAACUCAAAGGAGACUGCCAGUGAUAAACUGGAGGAAGGUGGGGAUGACGUCAAGUCAUCAUGGCCCUUACGACCAGGGCUACACACGUGCUACAAUGGCGCAUACAAAGAGAAGCGACCUCGCGAGAGCAAGCGGACCUCAUAAAGUGCGUCGUAGUCCGGAUUGGAGUCUGCAACUCGACUCCAUGAAGUCGGAAUCGCUAGUAAUCGUGGAUCAGAAUGCCACGGUGAAUACGUUCCCGGGCCUUGUACACACCGCCCGUCACACCAUGGGAGUGGGUUGCAAAAGAAGUAGGUAGCUUAACCUUCGGGAGGGCGCUUACCACUUUGUGAUUCAUGACUGGGGUGAAGUCGUAACAAGGUAACCGUAGGGGAACCUGCGGUUGGAUCACCUCCUUA